CUAAGAAUAUGAAGCUAGAUUUGAACUUAGUUUAUGUUGAUCGGUGUGUUGUUUGAAUAUUGAUUCGAGGGAAAGCGUGGUAUAUUUGUGUGAAUUAGUCUGCUCAAAUGUAGAGUUUGACUUGAGCUGUUCUUCAAUGAUACUUUAUAAGCUAGUUGGUUAUUUCUAUAUUUGAUAUUUUAUCAAGACUUGUUUGUUUGACAUCUAUUAAAUCGGUCCAAAAUUUUGCUUCUUUUUGUGCUAUGACAGUGUCUUUCCCGAGUUUAUUUUCUAAAAAUUAUUUGAGAGGCACGUGUAAGUUUGCAUUGGGUGGAAUGGAAAAUAAAAGUAUCAUGAGUUUUACUUUUUUCUUCAAAUCAGUUGAAGUGUUAAGCAUUUAGGAUGGUCAUUCUUGAUUAUUUGUUUCAAAUUAACUCUUUUAUUUAUUAUUUGAUUUUUCUUGAGGUUAACAGUGAUCAGAUGUCCUGGUACAUAUUUUUAUCUUUUUGAUUGCCUUUAGUUAGCAUCAAUAAUCCGAGUGUAUUACAUCUUUUAUCCUUGUUCAUUUUCGGAAUUCUUAAGACCCAUUAGAUCAGCCUUUGUUAAAUGCUUAUUAAUUCGUUUUCUUCUGUCCCUUUUCUUGCAUGUGAAAUCUGUCCGGGUCCUCGCGGACUCUAUCCUCGCAUUUUCCUUUGGGCCACGAAGGCCCCCCAAAAUUUCCUUUAUCAAAUCAGCCAUAAAAGUCGACGAACAGGUCCCGAAUCCGAAAGAAGCAGCAGAUUGAAAAUUUUGAAAGAUUGGGCCAAAGGCCCACUCUUUACACAAAAAAUUGUAUUUUGUUGGGCCUAAGCCCAUUUAGUCGCUAUUCUAUAUUUUGUUAGAAGCCUAGGACAGGUGAAAAAUUGGGCCUAAGGCCCAAAGAAAAAUAUUUAUUUUACGUUAGUAUAGGACAGGUGCAACUCAAAUGGGCCGAAGGCCCAAAACAAAAAUGGGCCCAAAUACUGGUCCAGGCGGACAAAAACCAGAUUUGGGUCCAACUCUCUUUCCCUCAUUACUUUACUAUGUUUGUUUUGCUUGUUCGUAUUUAUCGUUAAUCUCAGGGUUGAAGAGUUCAAAUCCCCAAAAGACGCUCACUUCGUUUUUAACAAUUUUACUAAAUCGAUCAUCUUUCGAAAGACUUAAAAGAAGAAAUUUUGAGAAGUAUCUCACUUAGAUCGUAGGUUAAUAUUUCCCUUUUUCCCUUUUAUAACCGUCUCAACUAUAAAAUAAUUCAAUCGUUCUACUCAAAUUAGGUCAAACGAAUUUAGCCAAAUAAUUAAUUGUUGGAUAACCGCGUAUUAGCGGGCAUUUCGGGUGCUUUCAAACCCUUCCCGAAAUGCUAAUAAGAACCC
rnacentral:lncRNA from 1 species